UACGAAGGGUGCAAGCGUUACUCGGAAUUACUGGGCGUAAAGCGUGCGUAGGUGGUUUGUUAAGUCUGAUGUGAAAGCCCUGGGCUCAACCUGGGAACGGCAUUGGAAACUGGCUUACUAGAGUGCGGUAGAGGGGUGUGGAAUUCCCGGUGUAGCAGUGAAAUGCGUAGAUAUCGGGAGGAACAUCUGUGGCGAAGGCGACACCCUGGACCAACACUGACACUGAGGCACGAAAGCGUGGGGAGCAAACAGG
rnacentral:rRNA from 1 species